AGGUAUGCGUAGCAUUGGUAUUGUAGGCAGUGAGGGUUAUCCCGAGGCUCAGUUAUUACUAACUGAAAAUUUUCCAGUACUGUGAUGACUUCAGUUACAGUCAGCUUUGACAAUUUUUGACAGUCUCUGUGGAGA
rnacentral:snRNA from 1 species